ensembl:lncRNA
GGCUUGUUUGACUAGUGGAGGUGUGAGAAUUGCCUCAGGUCACUGGGUGGGGGAUGGCAUGAGGCCUGCAUUCAGAUUCAGACCAAGGGCCAGAGUUUGAGAACCAUCCUUCCACUGAUUUGAAUACACAACUUCCUGGAUACCAAAGAGGAGCUAUUACUCCCAGAAAGGAAGAGGCGGUCUUUUCCAACCCAACUCCACUUGGAUGACAAAACUGUAGCCCACCAGAUACUCCAGGCAGAGCCUCCUUGAAUGCCCGCUUGCAUCUCUCACAAAAGUCCUAUCUUAAUAAAUCUACUUCUUGCCUAUCACUUUGUCUCUUGCUAAAUUCCUUCUGUGUGGAGGCAUAAAGAACCUGAACCUCAAUAAGUCCAGACACCUGGUGAGUGGUUCUAAUUUAUAACGUGGGUUCAAGUCCCAAUCUGGGUUUGGGCUAGAUUCAGGCCAUUAGUGCUGUCAGUUUCAGUAUCAGGGCUUUUGCCUGCCCAGUUCCCAUCCUGCCAUCUCUUGGCUACAUGCCUUGACAUUCCUCGAGGGAGCCACCCCUUGUCCCACUCUGAGUUCAUGCACUGCAGAAAGGCUGCCCCUCCCCCCAGCUCCAGGGGCAGGGGCAGAUGAGACCCAGGUGGAGGUAGUCCUCUAUCCUCUCCUUCAUUCCUAACUAGGAUAGGCAGUUUCCAAGUCAUCUCUGGCCUUUCUUCACACAUGGAACUACCUGCAUGAAAAUGAGCCGCACACAAGGGAACAGAAACCCAAGACAGAAAGAUGGAAGUGUUUGAGUUCCUGGAUACAGCUAGACCUGAUGGUGGUCUACCCUGUGAGAGCCAACAAAUACUCUCUCUAGUUUGAGUUGGAAUUUCUUCAAUUUGUAACUGAAAAAAGUAUAACCAAACAUAAUUGUCACUUAAUUCAGUCCUUCAUCACCAAAGUAUGGGACUCAAUGAGAAUAGACUUAUCUCAGGUCACAAGUGACAUAGUUGUAGAGUGAUAGUUCUGGAAGCCCAAACACAAUGGUCUACAGCCAUAUUACCUGGCUGGCUUGGGUCAGGAUGUACAGCCCCAGUUACUUGCACUCACUUGCUUGAGAAUUUGCAAGUUAACAAAAGGCUUUGUAAACAUGUGAUCUUGUUUGUGUUCCUAAGCAAGCCAAGCAGAGUCUGAGUCUGGGUCUGGGUCUGGGGUGGCAAUGGUACCCGCCCUGGGCUGGUCUUAUGCCUGCACCUGCCCUGCAGAGUCCACUGGUCCUGCCCACACCUCUGUAAGUCACUAAAACUACAUUUUAUUCAGUCUGUGUGGAGUGAAUUCUGUAUUCUGCCUGGGCUCGAACUGAUAAAGCUGGAGAGAAGGUGAAAUCCCCAGAUCCCAGGAAAUGUAUGUUGUGUGUUUUAAUACCCACUUCUGUUUCAAUACCCACUUCCAGAGUGCCCUUCCAGGUUGCAUGAGAUCUCGCCUGACCAGGCCACUGGGCAACCCUGAAGAGAGAUGGGAACGUGAGGCUCCUUCCCCUGGGCACCUGCCCCUGAGGUGCCACCUCCUGUUCUGGAGCAUGUGUCCUGGCUGAUAAACAAUCACACACUGGGGCACCUGGGGUCACCUCUGGCUGGACGCAUGCCCAGGAACACGUGAGGGGCCCAGGCCCCGCCCGCCACUAGCUGCCACUGCCAAUUGAGAUCAGCCUGGGGCACCUUCCCCUGUCCUGCUCAGAGGCGGGACAAAAACCUGAUAAGCGUGUUUUCACCAACAUGAGAGUUUCGGCCCCUCUUUGGGGACUGUUUGUGUUUCGGGUCACGCUGUUGGCUAACCCCACCUCUUUCUUUCCUUUGCUAAACUGACAUUUGCUGGGCUGCCCGGCCUCCGGGAGGCUGGCAGUUCCUGCCCUGAGCUGCCCAGUGGGACUCUCCUUUUCCUAUUUCCAGGUACUUCUGUUAUAUUUAGUUCUCUCAUCAUAGUCCACCACAUGGGUAGGUAUAGCUUCCGCCUUAUGGACAAGGAGCUGAGGCCUAGCAACGGAGGGCAGCUGGCCCAAGGUCACACGGCAAGUUAGGGGCUGAGAUAACGUGAAAACUGACCCCCAGCCCUGUAUCCACUCCCCUUCCCACAAACUCAAACUCAACCACCAAAGAUCAGGCCUGGUAGCAAUCAUCCCUCUCCAGUCCAUCCAUUCAUUCAACAAACACUGAAACUUCAGGGGCACCAACUGUAGAGGAUUGACUCUGGACCAGAUCCCACCCACCUCCUGCUUUUGUAAACAAAGUUUUGCUGGAACGUUUUCCGGAACCCCAGCCACUCCCAUCCAUGUGUGUGUGUCUGUGGCUACUUUCUGCUAAAGGCAGAGUUCAGUCAAACCAGAGACCACCUGGAGUUCCCUUGUGGCACAGAGGGUUAAUGAUCCAGUGUAGUCACUGCAGCGGCUCUGGUAUGGCUGUGGCGUGGGUUCAAUCCUUGGUCCAGGAACUUCCACAUGCUGCAGGCGCAGCCAAAACAAAUAAACCAACUGAAAACACCCAGAGACCAACUGGCCCUCAAGCUGAAUAUAUUACCUAUGUGGCCCUUUAUAAAUAAAGUGUGUCCAGGGCCACAUUAUGACUUUCUAGGCACUUUUGUACCUCUGUGAACUCCCUCCUGGAAAAAAAUUUAUAUAAAACUGAGUCCCCCUAAAACAGAAUUCCUUUACUGAGUUUAUGAUUAAUUUCUCUAUCCAAAACUUUAUUCCCCUGCCUGUAUUCUCUAACUUUAAUCACUUCCUUGUCCCCGAUGAUCUCAAUCCUAUGCUAACUGAACAUUAAUCAACUAGAUUGAUGGACAAUCGACUAAGACGGCUGUUGUCGUCGAUAACGUUCUUCAUGUACUAAAAUUGCUAUCACAGAUACCAUCAUUAAUGCACAAACUCAGAUUGUUUCUCUAGGGCAAGAUGAGCUCACAGACCCCUGAGCCAUGGGCCACCUGGCCAGAAAAUCACACACCAGAGACAUUCUGACUCCUAAAACCAUGAUUAAGAAAUGUCACAGAGGAGUUCUUGUCUUGGCGCAGCAGAAAUGAAUCUGACUGGGAACUAUGGGGUUGUGGGUUCAAUCCCUGGCCUCGCUCAGUGGGUUAAGGAUCCAGUGUUGCUGUGAGCUGUGGUAUAGGUUGCAGACGUGGCUCGGAUCCCGCAUUGCUGUGGCACUGGUGUAGGCUGGCGGCAACAGCUCCAAUUGGACCCCUAGCCUGGGAACCUCCAUAUGCAGCGGGUGCAGCCCUAAAAAGACAAAAGAAAGGAAAAAAAGAAAGAAAUAUCACAGAAACAUCACAAGAGGAUGAUUAAUCCCAGUCCCUUUGUUCUUUGCUUUUAAAAUAUUCUUAAUUCAGGGUUCCCUAGUGGCUCAGCAUAUUAGGGCUCCAGAGCUGUCACUGCUAUGGCUCAGCUCACUGCUGUGACGCAGGUUUGAUCCCUGUCCUGAAACUUCUGCAUGCCUUGGGUGCAGCCGAAAGAAACCCCAACCAUUCCUAAUUCAAAAACUAAGAUGGAGUGGAUCUGAGGCUUGUCUCCCACUUCCUUGCUUGGUGCCCUGCAAAUAAAUAAAUACUUACUUUGCUGCAAACACCCACCAUCAGAGUUUGGCUUUCUGCACUUUGGGCACACGAGUCCUUACAUAUACAUAAACUUAGACAGAAAGAUAGAUAGAUAGAUAGGGUUUUGGUUUUUUGUUUUUUUUUUGUCUUUUUGCCUUUUCUAGGGCCGAACCUGGGGCAUAUGGAGGCUCCCAAGCUAGGGGUCUAAUCAGAGCUGUAGCUGCCAGCCUACGCCAGAGCCACAGCAACUCAGGAUCCAAGCCGUGUCUGCAACCUACACCACAGCUCAUGACAAUGCCAGUUUCUUAACCCACUGAGCAAGGCCAGGGAUCAAACCCGCAACCUCAUGGUUCUUAGUCAGAUUUGUUAACCACUGAGCCAUGACGGGAACUCCAAUAUAAUUAUAUUUUAUGACUAUGUUGGUAUAAAGACAAAUAUAAUCCAGGCUGGAUUAUAUUCUUGUCCCACUGUUUUAAAGCAAUUCCAACAUUUCCAUGAGACCCUAGAACACUUGUAGCCUCCAGGCACUGCACCUGCUGUGCCCCACGGAGAAGUCAGCCCUGAGUUGGCCAUAGGUGGGUCCCACACUGCUGAGAGUUGAGCCCCAAAAGGAGACACCCCAAUAUUUUGCCAUCACCUUGAUUCUUACACCAGCAGUAGAGACUGCAGGGAGAAAUUCUGAUAGCUUUGAAGGGAACCAUUCAGGGCUCAAAGAGAUUGCACCAUUUCUUUGGGUGAAAAACUGUAUUUCCUUUCAAAUUCCUAUAUUUUAUAUUUUUCAAUUUUUAAUUAGUUGGGGGGGUAUAAAUAACAGAUGCACAUAGGUUAAAGAUCUGUUGAAUGUCCCAGAUGAUUUGCAAACAAAUAUAACACUCCCUUCCACUUCUGCAUCCCGUCCCCUUCCUGUGACUGGUGUGAUUCCUUCCAAGCCGACUGUACAUGUGUGCACACAGUUUACCAGACAUGCUGUUACAGUCCGGGCUUUUUUCCCUAAGUCUACACUCUCAUGCAUAAAUUCAUCUUGUCUUUGUUGAAUAGCUCUUUAGUAUUCCACUGAGUGAACUUAGCACCACUUGGAAGUGUGAGUAUUUCCAGUAUUUCUCUGUUACAGCAUUGGAAGGGAGAAUACUCCAUACAGACUGACUAUGCCUGAAUAUUAGGCAACUUUUUUCCUUCCCAAAAAUCUCCGAAAAGAGGGAGUCCCUUUACUGUAUAUACAAGUUCUGAUAAAGGCUCUCCCAUUAACUAAUGAUUUCUAAUUCCUUUAUUUUAAACAAGGAAGUUCUAUCUGCAGAAGACACAAUAGCCUGAAAUGACCUCAGUGAAUUCUAAUUUGGGAUGUUUGUGGCACACACCCAACAGAAUUGGUUGGGGGGAAAAGGAGGCAAAGGCAUUUAACACAAAUGCAGUAAUUUUUCCUGGGGAUAUGACUUCACAAUUGCAAGUGUUAAAAUAACACUGUAAACAAACCUUUUAAAGAUUACUUUAGAAAGCAAUGCUUUAAAAUUAAGAAUGUCUCUUCACCAGACACCGUUAAGAAAAUGAAGAGGAAACCACAGAGUGGGAAAAGAUGCUUGCAAUCUCUAUGUCCAAGAAAAACUAGUAUCCAAAAUAUAUAAAGAAUUUCUACAGGAGUUCCUCUCAUGGCUCAGUGGAAACAAAUCUGACUAGUAUCCAUGAGGAAGCAGGUUCAAUCUCUGGCCUCGCUCAUGGGUUAAGAAUCUGGCGUUGCCGUGAGCUGUGGUGUAGGUCACAGACACAGCUUGGAUCCUGUGUUGCUGUGGCUGUCAUGCCAGCCUGCAGCUGUCGAUCUGAUUGGACCCCUAGCCUGGGAACCUGCAUAUGCCUUAAAGAGACAAAAAACAAAAAAACAAAACAAAACAAAACAAAACAAACCCUGUUGGUGGGAAUACAAAUUGUACAACUUUGGAAAACUGGUGUCAUCUGUGAGACAUUUGUAUACUGUGGACAUUUGUAUACGCUCUGAUCCAGUAGCUUGGCUCCUAGAAAUAUACUCAACAAAAAUGCUCACAUACAUUCAUGAAAAGGCAUGUAUAAGACAAUUCAAAGAAGCGCUAUGAUAUUGUCAUGGAUAAUUUAAAAAAAAAAAAAA